rnacentral:rRNA from 1 species
AGUGAACGCUGGCGGUAGGCCUAACACAUGCAAGUCGAACGGCAGCACAGUAAGAGCUUGCUCUUACGGGUGGCGAGUGGCGGACGGGUGAGGAAUACAUCGGAAUCUACUUUUUCGUGGGGGAUAACGUAGGGAAACUUACGCUAAUACCGCAUACGACCUACGGGUGAAAGCAGGGGAUCUUCGGACCUUGCGCGAUUGAAUGAGCCGAUGUCGGAUUAGCUAGUUGGCGGGGUAAAGGCCCACCAAGGCGACGAUCCGUAGCUGGUCUGAGAGGAUGAUCGGCCACACUGGAGCUGGGCCACGGUCCAGGCUCCUACGGUAGGCAGCAGUGGGGAAUAUUGGACAAUGGUCGCAAGCCUGAUCCAGCCAUACCGCGUCGGUGAAGAAGGCCUUCGGGUUGUAAAGCCCUUUUGUUGGGAAAGAAAAGCAGCAGGUUAAUACCCCGCUGUUCUGACGGUACCCAAAGAAUAAGCACCGGCUAACUUCGUG